GCAGUCCGUGGUGAGAGGAUCUAUGGUUCGUAAACUUCUUUUGCAGGGGAAUAAAGUGCAGGACGUGUCCUGUUUUGUAUGUACCCUGAGAAUAAAGAUCGGCUAACUCCGUGCCAGCAGCCGCGGUAAUACGGAGGAUCCGAGCGUUAUCCGGAUUUAUUGGGUUUAAAGGGUGCGUAGGUGGUUUGAUAAGUCAGCGGUGAAAGUUUGCAGCUUAACUGUAAAAAUGCCGUUGAAACUGUCGGACUUGAGUGUAAAUGAGGUAGGCGGAAUGCGUGGUGUAGCGGUGAAAUGCAUAGAUAUCACGCAGAACUCCGAUUGCGAAGGCAGCUUACUAAGCUACAACUGACACUGAAGCACGAAAGCGUGGGGAUCAAACAGGAUUAGAUACCCUGGUAGUCCACGCAGUAAACGAUGAUUACUAGCUGUUUGCGAUACACAGUAAGCGGCACAGCGAAAGCGUUAAGUAAUCCACCUGGGGAGUACGCCGGCUACGGUGAAACUCAUAGGAAUUGACGGAAUUGACGG
rnacentral:rRNA from 1 species